GACGAACGCUGGCGGCGUGCUUAACACAUGCAAGUCGAACGAAGUGGCGAACGGGUGAGUAACGCGUAAUCAACCUGCCCUUCAGAGGGGGACAACAGUUGGAAACGACUGCUAAUACCGCAUACGGAAGGAGGUGUUUGCGUUGGAUUAGCUAGGUGGCGGGGUAACGGCCCACCAAGGCGAUGAUCAGUAGCCGGUUUGAGAGGAUGAACGGCCAAAUUGGGAAUGAGACACGGCCCAGACCUCUACGGGAGGCAGCAGUGGGGAAUCUUCCGCAAUGGACGAAAGUCUGACGGAGCAAAGCCGCGUGAGUGAUGACGGCCUUCGGGUUGUAAAGCUCUGUUAAUCGGGACGCGGUACCGGAAUAGAAAGCCACGGCUAACUACGUGCCAGCCGCCGCGGUAAUAC
rnacentral:rRNA from 1 species